CCACAAAGCGGCGCACACCCCCUGCGGUUUACCGGGCUCGGCCCGUUUUCUUCUAGCAGUCGAUCCUUCUACGCCUUGACUUCUUCUUCUUUCCUUCCGCGUCUCUCCCCCUCUUAUCCCCUUCCACAUCUCGUCUCCCCCGCGUCUACGAUUUCUAGGGUUUUCGUCUAGCAAUCAAUCCGUCCCCUGUCUCGCGCAGUGGAUCCGUUCCCUGUCUCGCGCUGGUUCACGCGCGAGAUCGCGAUGGCUUCCGCUGAAGAAGAAGGGAUUGGACAUGGCAAAGUGAAAGAACAACUUGAUUCACAACCAGUCGAGCAAGGUGGUCAGGAACAGCAUCAAGAAGUCCAAACGCCAGUACAAGCUGAACAACGUGUCAUAGUCACGCACGUUGAAGAACCGGAAAGCGAUGAAACAUUCCAAGCUCCACCACGAGGUCUUCGGAAUGGUCAAGGCGCAAGAGUUUAUCCUAGGAAGUUGUGCAAUCCCACCUAUAAAUCUAGGUUGUCAACAAUGCGCUUCAGCAAGACAGUGAAAAAGUUCAGUGAGAUUCAAUUAGGGCACAUCAGCAAAUACAAAAUGGAUGCCCUGCUUCACAUGCCAUAUCACCUAAACAUACCGAUGAAUCUCCUUGAGUGGUUAGAUCAGCACAUUUUUGGUGUUACAGAGCCUUGUUUCAAGCACAAGAACAAAGUCAUCAAGAUCACUAAAGACAUGGUAGACAAGAUUUUUGAUUUCCCUGGCGGUACUGUUCCUUUUGUAUUCAGCAGCAACGAUCCUCAAGUGAAAGCAGAAGUUGCUCAGUGAAGAAGCAGGUAUGUUGAUUAUCGAAACAAGAUGCCUAUCAACAAGAUUGAGGAAGUGAUGCUAAGUGACGAGAGUGAAGAUGGUUUCAUCAGGAGCUUCGUUUUCUAUUUCAUAUCAUCUAUACUCUGCCCAGCGUCAUACUGUUUUGGCAACACCAAAUUCCUCUUCUCUCUAAGAGAUGUGUCUGUAAUCCCUUCACUGGACUUUGGGCAAUUGGCUUUAGAUUUUAUGAUUGAAGAAUCAGAACGUCAUUUCGAAAUGAUAAUGAACAGACCAACACUUGAGGAAAUGAACAAGCCUUCCCACAUUGGCGGUUGCCUUCCUAUUUGGGGGAUCAUUUAUCUGGAUUUCGUUGACUUUGAUGUCAUCGAGAACCACCAGUCAACUGUUGAUUAUUCUCUACCCCGGAUCAGCCACAUUAAGAAUGCUGACUUCCAAUACCUAGCUUUGGUUGAUAGGAAUUAUGAGUCUAGGAAAGCGUUUGGAGUACUACCAAUAAGACACAUAUCUCAAACACCGUAUGCAAAUGCAGUUCCUAUUGGCAACAUUGCUGAUACUCAACAAGAGGUCAAUUUUCACAGCAAUGCCCACGAAACAAUCAAUGAAAACAACCCAAUUAACUUGACCACUCCAGAUAUCAAGUCAGCAGGAACAAGUUUCACUCCAAAACAUGAAAUCGAUUGUAAAGUGAAGCCAGAGCUGCAUUCGAAAUUAGAGACCCCUGAUGUACUUGACACCAAGCAAGACCCCGUUGCACCAAAAGCUGAGAACAAUGUGAAGGUUGAGGAAGAGUUGGACCCAAUAACUGAAAUAAACCAAAGGAGUCUUGUUCUCAUCAGUUCUAGCUUAUCAAAUGAAAGAGCGAAGCAUUACAGUAGCACUCCAAUCAUAAUUUAUGACUCCUUUCACGCCUUGUGCACCUACCAGUGAAGAGAGACCAUUUGGUGAGGCUAAUUCUAACACAGGAAUAUACAUAGACAUGGGUGUUGCUCUUCAAUCAGGUUCAUCUAGGACCAAUGAUGCACAAGCUAGAUCAAGCACAGGCCCAAAUACCAUUGAGAAGAAGAAUAGGAAAAAGAGAGCAGCUAAAGUGCAAUCUCCUGAUGAACCAAAGAGGCUGAAAAUCCCUCGAGAGCACUCUUUUUGUCAACAUUGAGGGAUUUCCCAUUAGUUACGAUAACUUCUUCGCUUCAUUCAAGUCAAGGGGUGAGAUUGGAGAUGAAGUCAUGGAUUCACUCAUUCAAACAUUCAACCUGGAAGCAAAGACUUCAUGUCAGAUAAAACCUUUUAUUAAAAAAUUCUGUUCCACUUUGCGCUUCACU